rnacentral:rRNA from 1 species
CCUACGGGUGGCAGCAGUGGGGAAUAUUGCACAAUGGGGGGAACCCUGAUGCAGCGAAGCAGCGUGGGGGAGGAAGGACUUCGGGAUGGAAAGCCCUAGCAGCAGGGAAGAAAAGGACGGUACCUGACGAAGAAGCCCCGGCUAACUACGUGCCCGCAGCCUCGGUAAUACGUAGGGGGCAAGCGUUAUCCGGAUUUACUGGGUGUAAAGGGAGCGUAGACGGCGUGCCAAGUCUGAUGUGACAGGCCGGGGCUCAACCCCGGGACUGCAUGUGAAACUGGCAUGCUGGAGUGCCGGAGGGCCAAGCGGUAUUCCUCGUGUCGCGGUUAAAUGCUUAGAUAUUAGGAGGAACCCCGGUUGCGAAGGCGGCUUGCUGGACGGUACCUGACGUUGCGGCUC